AUCAGUGAUGAGAAGAGGGUCGUAUGAUUAGUGAUUAGCGCUGGAAAUUCUGAAA
rnacentral:snoRNA from 19 species